rnacentral:rRNA from 1 species
CACGUAGUUGGCCGGUGCUUCUUCUGCGCAUACCGUCACUUUCGCUUCGUCUGCGCUGAAAGAGGUUUACAACCCGAAGGCCGUCAUCCCUCACGCGGCGUUGCUGGAUCAGGCUUUCGCCCAUUGUCCAAUAUUCCCUACUGCUGCCUCCCGUAGGAGUCUGGGCCGUGUCUCAGUCCCAGUGUGGCCGGUCACCCUCUCAGGCCGGCUACCCGUCGAAGCCUUGGUGGGCCAUUACCUCACCAACUAGCUGAUAGGCCGCGAGCUCAUCCUUCACCGCCGGAACUUUCCACCACCAUCAGAUGCCUGAAGUGGUCGUAUCCGGUAUUAGCUCCCGUUUCCGGGGUUAUCCCGAUGUGAAGGCAGAUUGCUCACGUGUUACUCACCCGUUCGCCGCUCGUGUACUCCCGAAGGAGCCUUACCGCUCGACUUGCAUGUGUUAAGCACGCCGCCAGCGUUCGUCCUCGAGCCGAAGAUACGAAACUCUCUGACGACUCGCCGUAACGGACCG